CAGAGCAUGAGUUUAAAACAUAUUUGAAAAUCCUCAUUGAAGCUAAUAUGACAGUGCACUAACUGCAUGAACUGCCCAUACGGUAGUAUUUGAGUAGAUUUCAGGUUUAUGACCGUGUUUUGUAGUUAAUAGAUUAGACGGUAGGAAAAAUGGACACGUGGAGCUAGCGGCUAACAGCUAGAGGAGGCUGUCGUGUCUAAUAAUUUUGAAACUUCUCUCAAUAGUUUGGGCGGAAUCCUGUUGCUGAAACCCAUGGUUAUUCAUGUCCCAUGUUAUUGCAGAGACCCACAAAAAGGGGAAUAAAUCACGCCUGAGCUCUA